CUUAGCCUCCUGAGUAGCUGGUACUGCAGGCACCCACCACCAUGCCUGGCUAAUUUUUUGUAUUUUUAGUAGAAACAGGGUUUCACCAUGUUGGGCAGGCUGGUCUGGAACUCCUGACCUCAAGUGAUCCACCCGCCUCAUCCUUCUGAAGUGCUGGGAUUACGGAUGUGAGGCACCGCGCCCGGCCUGGCCACAAAUAAUCUAAUUAUGUCACUGCCCCUGAAAAUCGGUCACCAAAGGGUCUCAUAGCCCCAGGCCCCAAGGCCACCCCGCUGAGUGUGCCAUCAAACACUGCAGCCUUAAAAACCCAUGGACCCCAGAUGCCCCCAGUGCUGUCCACCCCUUUCAGCGUCCUGAAGCUUGUUCAGUGGCUCCCACUGCCUGAAAUCAGCCCAUUGCCCCCAUCGAAGUCCUUCAUGCUCCAUUCCCCUUUCUUGGUUCCCUCCGCCUUGGGAGCUGGGGACGUCUAGGUCCGUUUCCGUGUCCCACGCUUUGGAGCAGUAGAACCAACGCGCGGCCAGCGCAUCUUCUGCCACCAGAGGGCACCCGCGCCUCGGGCUUUGGCUCCCACACCGCGGCCCGCCAGGCCUCGAUUCAACCCGCGCGUCGCACGGUGAAACUGAGGGCAUCCCCAGCUCAAGGCUGCAGACGCUACGCGGGGCACCGCAGAGGCAGCCGCCCUGGAGCGGGAGCUGCUGGAGGAUUAUCGCUUUGGGCGGCAGCAGCUCGUGGAGCUGUGCGGUCAUGCUAGUGCCGUGGCUGUGACCAAGGUACCUGACCCCUGACCCCCAACCCUGACCCCAACCAGACGGCCAACUCUCCUGAGCUGCAUGACUCCUGUGACCAGGGUGGUUCAGCCCUCAAGAACUCCCUUUUUGCUUGGGCCUACCCCAGCCUGAUGGGUAAACUGAGGCCCAGAGAGGCUCAUGGCUGGUACAGGCCAGAUGGGGACCUGAGACCCCUGGUAUCAGAGAAGGCCAGGGUGGAGGUUAUUGCAGGGACAGUGCCGCGACCCUGGAAGUGCAACCCCUCCUGCACAUGUGACCCGCCUGCUUCUGCCACCUCCUGGGUCUUGGGCACCAGGGACAUCUGCUCCUGCGAUCUGAACACCCCUAAACAACCCCGUUCUGCAGGUGGGGAAACUGAAGCUCAGAGGUGGUGAGGGGCCUGCCCUGGGUCAGAGGGGGAUGGAAGCAGAGCUGCAACCCAGGUGUGUCUGGCUCUGGAGUAAACCCCCACACCUCGAGGGGCCAGGAGGAUGACACAAGGGUGAUAGCAAUAAUCAUACUAUGGAGUGCUUCACCGUGCAGCCAGCAGUGCUGUGCGUCAGUUUCCUCUGCAACAGCAUAAUAAAUGGUACUGACGAGUCAGUCCCUAAACGCGAACGCCUCAGAAAAC
rnacentral:lncRNA from 1 species